UUGGCAUACAUUUUUUCCCAGUAAGUUGAUUUAAUUCCCGUGUACUGUAUGUGUGACUGGCCCGAUGAGUCGAGCACUGUGGCGUUUUGUCUUAAGGGGCAUAUACAUGAACACCGAGGGUAUUCCCUCCAAUUUAGGUCAGAUGAAAGAAGGGCCAGAGGGCUUUCUCUCACAGCGUAAAGCCUUCAGCAAUGCAGUUUAAUCCUAGCAGGCAAUCUUCCACACCAUGAGAGCAGGAGGGAUCGUGUUCAGCAUUCUGCAGUCUAGGUCGUCUGGCUCUUGCCUGUAGCUUUAUUCUUCACAAUUCGAGGGAAGGACUAGGGGCAGCUUUAGAGCAGUGCAGUGAACUUCACAACCCCUGGAACAGCCCUAGGAACCCAGCACUGCCCUGAGAGACCACACAGCUCUGGAACUGGGAAUGCUCUCUCUCACACGCGCACAUCAUUUUGUUGUUUCACUCCCCAGAGGCACCGUGAUGAAGUGCGAGAGAAUUGAGUGAAUGGGCCGCAGUUCCUAAAGCUUGUGCUAAAUUCAAAGUUUAGGGGGCCAAUGUUGUGCGGGGAUAACCAGGAGACGUCACGUUACACAAGGCGAACAGUAUCUCCCCUAGCUCUUGUUUGGAUCACUUCUUUAAGUAGGUUCACGAUAGGCUCCGUCAAGCUUUGUUAGCAGCAGGAGAUAAGAUUCACGAGGACCACAAUGGUAUGCAUGCCAGCUAAGAAGGAGCUCAAGUGAGAGACAGACAGAGAGGAUUUACAGCAGGACGGUAAAGGAACAUACCUAAGGAAUAUUCCAGUCACCACAUCAAUCAACCCAACUGAAGAGAAAGGUUCUGUGGGAUGACCUCUAAAAGGUAAAGCAUUACCUCAGAGCAAUAGCAUCUAACCAAUGCCACAUUCAGCUUGCCGAGACAGUGCACACAAACCGAGUAAAAGUGAGAGCUGCGGCGAAAGCCACAGCCACGUCCUAUCCAAUGGUGCGAACAGUAAGAAUGCAUUGUGAAGUCAGUGCGAUGAGGCGAGUGCCAGCGGCUCCAGAACUUGACGGCAGGGAGAGCCAUGGAGAGUCCUGCGCCCACUGCCAGUCUAGAGCCAUGGAGAGUCCUGCGCCCACUGCCAGUCUAGAGCCAUGGAGAGUCCUGCGCCCACUGCCAGUCUAGAGCCAUGGAGAGUCCUGCGCCCACUGCCAGUCUAGAGCCAUGGAGAGUCCUGCGCCCACUGCCAGUCUAGGCGCCAUUCCAGUAGCUUCCAUCUCACUGUACAGCUUCCCAUUGUUUGCUCCCCCAGCACUUUAAGAAGACGAGGCAUGAAUCCUAAGGAGAGUAAUCCAUUCUGUUCAUGUUCUUUUCUCCACGGGUGUCCCCCACUGUACGUUCAUUCCAUAAAAUACCUUGUAAUUCUUUUUUGUUCUUGCAAAAAACCAACAACAAUUAGUUUCCAGGACAACUACAGGACCAAUGAGUUGGGCACACAGCUAGGCCUACGCUUCAUCAUUUCGGUCAAUCCAAUAAGGGGUCUUGGAGGCCUAUGCGUUUACAAACUAUUACAAAGGCAGACAAUAAAAGCAUUCAUCCCUUCAUAUAUGCCUUUUGCCAAUAGUAAAUAAUUCUGUUGCUCUGGACAGAUCAUUACAACUCAUUUGGGAUCACAGUCGUGUCAUCAAAAACAUAUUGGUCUUGAACAAAUGGCCUGGAUUUAAGUAUAUACCUAUGUGACGUUCUAUGUAAAUAUCAGUGGGUUUAUGGGAAGAAGAAAAACCAAGCAGCGAACAAUGACCUAGUCAUUGUGAGUAAUUCUUGUUGGGAAUCACAAACCUGUUGUGUUACUAAACCGGAGCGCCUUGCCUUAUAAACUGUAACUUUAGAACUGAUUAUGAGCCAACUGUGUUCCAUGCUUUCCUCCAUGUUCCACACACACACACGGAGAACAGAGUGUACCCCUCAGAGUGAUUUAUCACACACAGCUAACUCUUCCUGGGACAAUAACAGCCAGCCGGAGCAUUAGGCUGAACAUGCUUUUUCAGUUUCCAUGUGAAAACGCCUAUAA
ensembl:lncRNA